UACGGAGGGUGCAAGCGUUAUCCGGAUUCACUGGGUUUAAAGGGUGCGUAGGUGGGUUGGUAAGUCAGUGGUGAAAUCUCCAGGCUUAACUUGGAAACUGCCACUGAUACUAUCAAUCUUGAAUACCGUGGAGGUCAGCGGAAUAUGUCAUGUAGCGGUGAAAUGCUUAGAUAUGACAUAGAACACCAAUUGCGAAGGCAGCUGGCUACACGAAUAUUGACACUGAUGCACGAAAGCGUGGGGAUCAAACAGG
rnacentral:rRNA from 1 species